AUUCUCUUGCAUUCCACCUGGGGAACGAGACAGCACCGGGUCUCACCCUGGCAAGGCAUGAGGCUGUGUGCUGCCAGAACGACCAGCAGGGGGCGCAAAGGCCACUCCAGGCACCUGCUGGCCUCGGAGAAAACAGAAAGGAAAUCAGGAAGCCCACUCCUGCUGUCUUUUCUCUGCAAGGAAAUGUGCCAGGGCACUGCAGCCCAGACAGUCGGCAGUAGAGGACCCAUGAAGUAUCUUUGUGCAAAGAAAGCAGCAAAGAGAAUUGCAUCAUAUAAAGAGUGAAUUAAACCAUCUAAAGGAGCAAAAAGUCAUCAUCACAUGGACAAGAAAUUAAGACAUAACAUCCAUAUCACUAUUUGCAAAGUGGUUUAUUCCUACAGACAAUGCAGAUAUGUAAAAAGGUUUUUCUAUAGUUUCAUCCUUUGUGGAACCUAAAGAGAUAAGCCUACGUUUUGAAAUAAAAUUUUUAAAAAUCAUGUAAAAAAAUGACCUACUGUAGCAAUGACAUUUUGAAGACAUCUCAUAGAACAUGAAGACCCCCCAGUAUUAUGAAUUGAUAACGUGAUUGCUUUCUUGGACUGGAUGGAUAAUUUCCCUAAUGGACAUUAAAGCAUUUGGAUCGUUAUUUUCCAUCUGGAAAGUGAUAGUGUCCUGAUUGUCUCAACAGCUGGAAUCCUAGGAGCAGAAGCCCAGCAUAAAGAUCUCUGAAAGCCUGGAUGCGUGGAUUCCUCUCUUAUUUCCCAAAACCGUGGGGUAGAAAUGUGAAUAUCAGCAUGCUGCACAGAUCUCUACAGAUGCCCAGGGAACUGAAUUUCUAGACGUUAUAAUCUAUGUUCUUUCCCAACCCCCGCUUCAGUUUACAUAUCGCAGGCCAUAGAUCCUGUUUGUUGAAAAGCCACCAGCUAGAAAACAAGAGUGGUUAUAACCUGUGCUGCCCAGUGAUCAGGAAAAGAGAGCGGAUGAAACUUCCAUGACUUUCUGUUAGUCUGAUUAAUAUCCAUGCCAAAUGUAAGAUAAGUUAAAAGGCCUUAUUGCUUCUCACCAAAAUGUUCCCUCACUAGCUAUAUACUACAUUGAAAUGUAAAGUUAUGGGUAUGUUUAAGUUUAAUUUGUCAACGGGCAUCCAACUCUUCUAUUUGUGUUUUUACUUUGAGCUUAGUUGGAGCAGACAAAUAGAGGUGACCUCUAACUGUUUUCCUCCUGAAGCCAUUUUCAGGGCAGAAGUGCUUUACCCACUUCGUUGAGAAACCACCUUUGCAUGCAGUACCCUGAGUUGUCUUCAGCACACCAAGCGUCCACAACAUGGGAAAUACUGUGCUUUAAAUGUUGCUUUAAUCACAGUGCUCAUGAGUAAGGGCAUGUCCUGUCUCUUAUCCAUGAAAAUACUCCCACAAAACGAAGUCACACCUAGUAUCUGUUAACAGAGAUACUGAGUGGGUGAGGAAGACUCAUUCCCUAAUGCAAUUCAGGUCACACAGGGUAAAAAAGAAAAAAAAAUCCUUUUCUGUUGAGGAUACAGAUGGAAAGAAAAUGGAAAAUGCCUUUCAGAAUGCACAAGCCUAGUUUUCUAAUUGUAUUUCAGGGAACAUGCUGGUGAACUUACCUGUGUGGCUUGGUAUUGUGGUGGGUUUUCAGCUUCUUCUCCACCAAAUCCUUUGAAAAGCAGCAGUGGCAGAAACAAAUAACCCAAUUAAAAACAAUAAUAGCAACAAUAAAAAAAGGAAAGAUAAAGAAGAAAGCAGUGGUUUUCUUUGGCUAGCUGAGGAACUUUCUACUAGGCGUUAGCAAUCUCUUUAUAAACAUUUUUCUUUACAGCAAAUGCUUCAUUCUCUAGACAAAUGUGGAGAAUUUUCAAGCAUCACCAGACUCAAUUCUUCUCCCCCUUUUUAACAAUUAAAGAAUCAGCUGAAUGCCUGUGUUUAAGAGUC